CCAGGGGAGAAACCUUCAAUGCUGCAAGUGUAGCAGAAGUAAGAGAGAUGAAGAGAGGAAAUGAGUUUGGUGAAGAGGAAGCAAGUGCUUUGGAGAGGAAUGAUAACAGCGAAAAUUUCAGGAGUAGGAUUUCUGACGAACCGAUGGCAAAAAUGCAGGGGAGGCUAGAGAUUUCUCAAACUCUUUGGUGGGUUCCAGCAUUCCCUAAAAUGAAGGCAAUCCAGCAAGAUUCUGUUGCUAUGGGAACCUGUCCACUUAAACUUGAGACCAUGUGCACCGUGGAUGUCCUGAAAGUGACGCCACAUGGCCAGAUCAUGCCUGUGGAUAGAGAAGAGAAUCAAGACCUUGU